GUGGGGAAUAUUGCACAAUGGAGGGAACUCUGAUGCAGCGACGCCGCGUGAACGAAGAAGGCUUUCGAGUCGUAAAGUUCUUUUAUAUGGGAAGAUAAUGACGGUACCAUAAGAAAAAGCCCCGGCUAACUACGUGCCAGCAGCCGCGGUAAUACGUAGGGGGCUAGCGUUGUCCGGAAUCACUGGGCGUAAAGGGUUCGCAGGCGGAAAUGCAAGUCAGGUGUAAAAGGCAGUAGCUUAACUACUGUAAGCAUUUGAAACUGCAUAUCUUGAGAAGAGUAGAGGUAAGUGGAAUUUUUAGUGUAGCGGUGAAAUGCGUAGAUAUUAAAAAGAAUACCGGUGGCGAAGGCGACUUACUGGGCUCAUUCUGACGCUGAGGAACGAAAGCGUGGGUAGCAAACAGGAUUAGAAACCCGGGUAGUCC
rnacentral:rRNA from 1 species